rnacentral:rRNA from 1 species
GAUGAACGCUGGCGGCGUGCUUAACACAUGCAAGUCGAACGGUGAAGCAGAGCUUGCUCUGUGGAUCAGUGGCGAACGGGUGAGUAACACGUGAGCAACCUGCCCCUGACUCUGGGAUAAGCGCUGGAAACGGCGGCUAAUACUGGAUAUGAGCUGCGACCGCAUGGUGAGCAGAUGGAAAGAUUUUACGGUCUGGGAUGGGCUUACGGCCUAUCAGCUUGGUGGUGGGGUAAUGGCUCACCAAGGCGUCGACGGGUAGCCGGCCUGAGAGGGUGACCGGCCACACUGGGACUGAGACGCUGCCCAGUCUCCUACAUGUGGCAGCAGUCGCGAAUAUUGCACACUGAGCUAAAGCCUGAUACGGCAACGCCGCGUGAGGGAAGACGGCCUUCGGGUUGUAAACCUCUUUUAGCAAGGAAGCAGCGAAACUGACGGUACCUGCAGAAAAAGCGCCGGCUAACUACGUG